GAUGAACGCUGGCGGCGUGCCUAAUACAUGCAAGUAGAACGCUGAAGGAAGGAGCUUGCUCUUUCCGGAUGAGUUGCGAACGGGUGAGUAACGCGUAGGUAACCUGCCUGGUAGCGGGGGAUAACUAUUGGAAACGAUAGCUAAUACCGCAUAACAGUAGAUGUUGCAUGACAACUAUUUGAAAGGGGCAAUUGCUCCACUACCAGAUGGACCUGCGUUGUAUUAGCUAGUUGGUGAGGUAACGGCUCACCAAGGCGACGAUACAUAGCCGACCUGAGAGGGUGAUCGGCCACACUGGGACUGAGACACGGCCCCGACUCCUACGGGAGGCAGCAGUAGGGAAUCUUCGGCAAUGGACGGAAGUCUGACCGAGCAACGCCGCGUGAGUGAAGAAGGUUUUCGGAUCGUAAAGCUCUGUUGUAAGAGAAGAACGAGUGUGAGAGUGGAAAGUUCACACUGUGACGGUAUCUUACCAGAAAGGGACGGCUAACUACGUG
rnacentral:rRNA from 1 species